rnacentral:rRNA from 1 species
UACGUAGGGGGCAAGCGUUGUCCGGAUUCAUUGGGCGUAAAGAGCGUGUAGGCGGCCUGGAAGGUCAGCUGUGAAAACCUGGGGCUCAACCCCGGGCCUGCAGCCGAUACGGGCAGACUAGAAUUCGGUAGGGGAGACUGGAAUCCUGGUGUAGCGGUGAAAUGCGCAGAUAUCAGGAGGAACACCGGUGGCGAAGGCGGGUCUCUGGGCCGA